CCCCGCGGGCCCCGCCCCCGCCCCCACCCCCCGCGAUCCGGCGCCGGAGCCGCGCGCUCGCCCGCGGGCAGCCGAGACCCCGGGCGGAGCCGGGCUGGCGCGGAGCGGCGCGGGGCGCGGGCAGCGGAGCGCGGGAGCCAUGAUGUCGACCUACAAGCGGGCCACGCUGGACGAGGAGGACCUGGUGGACUCGCUCUCCGAAGGCGACGUGUACCCCAACGGACUGCAGGAGUAUGACUACGAGCCACCAGGUGUAAUAUCUCACUGGUGCCCUAGAUGAAAGCCUUCGCCUCCAGAGCUUCUGUGCUGCUAAACCUGGCUGCCUCAUCUCCAUCCCAGAGCACAUCCUUUCAGUGGCUUGAAGGGAAAUAGCCAGAGUUACACCUACAGCCUAAGCUACAGCUGCUUACUAAAGCCCUUGACCUUGUCCAGUU
rnacentral:lncRNA from 1 species